CCCUAGCCCUGAUGGUAGUGGAAAUCCCACAGUUAGCGAUGGGAAAGCAAGGCGCAAGGAAUUGCAACAGACAGCAGGUUCCCGG
rnacentral:misc_RNA from 1 species